GCUAGGAUGAACGCUAGCGACAGGCCUAACACAUGCAAGUCGAGGGGCAGCACAAGGAGCAAUCUGAGGUGGCGACCGGCGCACGGGUGAGUAACACGUAUGCAACCUGCCUGUAAGCGGGGAAUAACCCGUUGAAAGACGGACUUAUACCGCAUAAUACUAAAUUACUGCAUGGUAAUUUAUUUAAACAUUUAUGGCUUACAGAUGGGCAUGCGCAUGAUUAGCUAGUUGGAGAGGUAACGGCUCCCCAAGGCAACGAUCAUUAGGGGUUCUGAGAGGAAGGUCCCCCACACUGGUACUGAGACACGGACCAGACUCCUACGGGAGGCAGCAGUGAGGAAUAUUGGUCAAUGGACGAGAGUCUGAACCAGCCAAGUCGCGUGCAGGAAGAAUGUUCCCUAUGGAUUGUAAACUGCUUUUGCAGGGGAAUAAAGUGCAUCACGUGUGAUGUUUUGUAUGUACUCUGCGAAUAAGGAUCGGCUAACUCCGUGCCAGCCGCUGC
rnacentral:rRNA from 1 species